CGUGUAGGCGGUUUGGCAAGUCAGAUGUGAAAGCCCCGGGCUUAACCUGGGAACUGCAUUUGAUACUGGUAGGCUAGAGUAUGAUAGAGGGGGGUAGAAUUCCUGGUGUAGCGGUGAAAUGCGUAGAUAUCAGGAGGAAUACCAGUGGCGAAGGCGGCCCCCUGGAUCAAUACUGACGCUGAGGUACGAAAGCGUGGGUAGCGAACA
rnacentral:rRNA from 1 species